AGUCCAAUUGUCAGCAUCUAUACAAAAGCCAGGGAGUUGGUGAAAAUAUGCUGACUUGCUUUAAAAACUGAGAGUGUUUGUCUACAGCCAAAGACAGAGAGUGGAAUUCCUCCUCACCCACUUGACUCCCUUAUGAACUUCUGGGAUAUUAAAAGGCCAGUGAGCCAGUAUUCACGCCAUGGGUUUGAAAUGGAACAUCCAAUCGAUUCAAUGGGCCACGGACCAUGAACAACAAUUUAAAAAUGAAACCCUGGAACAGAAAGUAUGACGACACCUUGCACAUAGUGAGGCAGGCGUGGCUCUGGGAUACUUAGCUCAGUAUUUUGGAAUUAGGUGGCAGGGAAGGAGGUGUUCGUUAUUGGCAUCUGUGCUACUAAAUUUUGAAAAAGUGUUAUAUUAAGUCAGGGACUAGUUAAGCCUGUUUGUAAAGUCCAAUAGAAAACAUUCUAGACAUUCCAGGCCAUAAAACUACUCAAGUAAUUUUGCACUCAAGUGCAAAAACAAGUUCUUCAUGUUUAUCCAUAAGCAGGGCCGUGUUACAAUAAAACUUUAUCAACAAA